GACUUUGAUUUUAAGAUGCAUCCACAUUGCUGAGUAUGCCUGCAGUGUACUGGCCACGUUUUACUCAUCCACUCCCCCGCGGGUGGACUUUCAGGCUGCCCCUCCCUCCUCCAUCACAGGCACAGGAACAGAAUUUCUGGGUCAUAGGAAUGAGAUGGAGGCUCUAGUCUGGAAACCUACCAGCACAGCAAAUGCCAAACCUCCUUCUCUGUGCCUGGAAGAGACGUUCUGGAAGUCUGAAGAGCCACAACACCUCCCAUCCUCCUUGUAGUUCUAGGCUUAACUCCUAAAACUACAGGAUUUGAGGCAGGAAAGUUGGAAUUGAGGCGCAGCCAUUCUCCCCUCCUCUGCUCUGGGAUAAGACAUCCUGGGGUGCAGUCGAGAGUCCCAGCAUCUCCAAAGAGUUUGUUUGCAAGUCCUGAAUGCUGAGCUGGUCCCUCCUGCAUAGCUCAGGUUAGGGGGACAGCCACCUCUCACCCCAAGGCUGGGAAGUGACUGGGGCCAGACUCAGGGCAGGAGGAAGACCUGAGCAGGACCCGGCACCUGGCCCCCCCAACCCCCUGCAAGCCUGUGGGAAGCAACUUCACUAACUGUUGGACUGAAGCCACAGUCCAAGAAGCUCAGGCUUCUCGCACUAAAGAAAAUUCAGAAACACCCAGACUGACUCUGGCAUGAAGCUCUUCAAGCCCUAAAAUGGGGCCUCUGAGCGCUCUCGCUGAUUUCCACUGCCCCAUCCCUCCAGCCUUCGGGGAGCACUUUUCCCCCAACAUCUGAGAUUCUGAGCCAGGACCCAGGGCAGCUCCCAGGAGACCCUCCCAUUCACCUGGACCCUUCCAAAAGCGACCAAGAGAGGCUGAGCUUCCCUCCACACUGCCUGGUCCUGCAGUUCCAUUUCCUGCCUCUUCUCCAGAGUAGGACAGCAUCCUGUUGCAGGGUACCACUGUGAACAAGGGCGGUGCGUUCCUGCUGCCACGGAGUGACACUGGACAGCAGAGGAGACGAGCAAACAAUUUCUAGUCACGGAAUUCCUGGACAAAGUAUAUCAAAUUUUUAAAUCCCUCAAGACUCCUUUGAUACUUACUGCCAAGUGACUUUCUGGGCGUGCCCUGUAGCAGAGGUGAAAAUACGGUCCCUGAGCAGUUUUGUGAAGACAAGAGAUGGCCAACAGGAAGCUCAGUGUCCAGCACGCAGUGGGAGCGCGGUGACUGGUUCCUGCUCCGGUGUGACAGCUUCCUCGGCGAGGUGGGUGCGACCUCAUGCCCUCUGGAAGCUGAGCCUGCAGGGCAAGGGCCCAGCUCCAGCCAGCCAGGCACAGAUGUCCCUACACUGGCCAAGCCUGGGCCCUCGGAGCCCUGCAGAUAGCAGAGCAAAAGGCCAAGGCCAAGGCCAGAGGCCAGAGAAAGUGAACAAAGGGCUGUAGGGGCAAAAGAGAGGGAGGAGGUGAUUUCUAGGCUGACCAAGGAGCGGAGCUGGGAAGGAGGGCAAAGAGGAGGGGCAGGGCUUGGGGGCCCACAGGAAAGUUCAGGACAGAGGGGAUGGAAGCCAAAGGGAAGAGCUGGUUCAAUACCAGGAUGUAAAGUGAAUUCAGGUACCAACCGAGUCUCCAGAGGCUGGCCCAAGGGCAGGGGUGGGACCAGGGGGCUCUGACAGGCUGCCCAGCACCUGGUUCUGUGACUAGCUCACUGUGUGACCCUGGACGAGAACCUGACCCUUGCCGGCCUCUGGCUUACCCAUUUGCAGAAGCCUCUGGUGUUCUUCCAUCUCUGAGAUCCUCUGGCCUGGCAAUGCCCUGAAGAGAUGAAUGCCCCCCAACUGGUCCUCUGAGCAAGUUUAAAUACCUACCAAACAAUUUCUCUGCUGCAGACAGGGGACAGAACUGCCCUGGGUCUCUUGGAUCAAUGGGAAGGCUUUUCUGGGGGAUUAUUGAAAAAGAAGAGGGCAGAGGGCAGAGAGAAGGGGCUUGCUUAGAGAGAGUGACCACGGCCAGAGGAGAGUGGACAGGGCAGCCCCAAGCAGGUGCAAGGAGAAUUAGAAAGUGGUGGCUCCUUUGGUGGUUGAAGUUCCACGUUAAUUCCUCCUGGCUAGAGAAACAAGCUCUGAUUUUCAGCCUUCACUCAUCCCCUGGGCUGGAUACUCUUGUGUUGCAGGGUGGGUUCUGCAACAGCAGACUUUGAAACAGAGUUUUGGAGCAUGCAAUGCUUACUAGAGAAAGGAAAGGGGAGAGAGCAGGAUUGGGCAGAGGGAAGUCAACCUGUGUUUCAGGCUCAAUCGAGUCUCAGCAUCGGAGCAAGUAGUGCUCACCAGAGUUGUCCAGCAUCAGACCUAAGUCGACGGGACUUUACUUUCUUUCUCCAUCAGUCACCAGAUUUGAGCUGCCCCAGGAAGGAUGUGACCUCAGGUAAGGAGGGUCCCCUGCAGCCGGGGUGGGCUCUGAGGGUACUGCCAGCAGGAGACUGUGUGCUGCUCACUCUCCCUGCAGCUGGGCAGCAGGUCCUCCCUCGAAGGGGAAUUUGGACAAUUCAUCUUUAUGUCUUUCACAUCUUGGGCAGUGAACCACCUGCUCAGCUGUACAUGGCAGCCCUGUGGGAGAAACAUUUUAAAGAAUACAAACCUGUGCCUUAUCCAGAUGCUUUGAAAAGUGUGGAUUGGGAAAAGAAAGUCAAAUAAUAGAUUAUUGUUUGUGUAUUACGGGAGUCCCUGUCAAGAGAGUCACAUCCUCUGAGACACUGGUUCCUGAUUUUUCUGGCCUGGAAGUUUCGAAAUGUCCGGGUUGUCAAAUCUCACCACUCCCACCCCUCCCUCUAUGCUAGCUUCUGGGCCUCUCAGUGUGCUUUCUGCUGGAAAAGGGUGACAGAUCAUCCUUCCAUUGUGUUUAAGGAGAAGUACAUCAUUUCUCUCCUUUUCCCCUUUCUGUGUGAUUUGGCCACAAGGUCUUGAUGUCAGGGAGUGAGAAGGCAGCCCUAGAAAGAUAUAUGACCUUCAAGGGAAGAAGGGAGAUGGGACCCUCUGGCUCCAAGGUCUUUGAUGACCCCUUAGUGCUCUUAGCUUAAAAUCCAAACCCUCAGCCUGGCGUGUGAUGCCUACAUGAGCUGGCCCUGCCUCUU